CUGGGUGUUUUGUGGAUUCAACGAGAUUUCAUUAUAUUUCACUUGCUCUUCCAUGGGUGUCGUGCCUAUCUAGAAACAUGUUACUGGUUUUAGUUCAGGCUAGCUUUCUGCUCAUAGGUAGAACUUUGCAUCUGAUAUCAACUUUAAUGAGGUUUGACUAUUGUUGGGGAUGUUCUGAAGCUUGUGGACUGUAUGCUUGUAGCUGAGCUUAACCUCCGAGGCCUCUCCCUUCUCUUAUCACAUUUAUAUCCAGCAUCCAGUCUCAGGUUUCACUAUUUACUAAUUACUACUACCGUUGAAAUGAUUGGGUCCCAAUCUUCCUAUUUCCCUUUGCAGCCUGCAAGGAUCCCCAACCAUACUGGGUGCUAAUGCCUGAGGUAUGUACUGCUUGGAUUUGCUCAGCUAAAGAAACACAGCACAAUCAUGAUGUGUAUCAACAAUUGGUUCAUUGUGGCUAGAAGCCUUUUUUUAGUCUCAAACUUCCUGGGGGAGACUAGCGUGAUUUUUGGGCUUCACAUGAGAUGUGCAAUCCGGCCACCUGGACCAUUGGAUGUGUCAAGGCUGCAAAGCCUGACCGUUUUAUGCAAAACCCCAUGUUUUUAUCUCUGUUUUGCAUGUGAUCACACACUUGUAUGGUUUUGCAUAAACCACCAGUGCGAACAUUACAUUUCCUAGUUCAGUAAUCAUCCAUGUUCAGUCUGUAGCCUAUAAUGUACUCUGUAUAUUGCUCAAAAUGAUAAUCUUACUCUGUAUUUUGCUGGAAAAAAGGUUCUACUCUACAAUCUAGUACUCACUGAAAGCAUUCAAAAACUGUGUUAGACAAUUUUCACUAAACCUGCACGUUCCAGACCCAAAUUUUAUCUAACAAAAACACUAAAGCUCUAACAACAACACUAGAAGCUGUACCACCUAAUUGAGGUCAUUAAGUCAACAAGAAAUAGAAUAAGUAUAUUUACAACAUAUGCACCAGUCAUGUUUUUGAAGAUGCGAUGGCGAUCCCUUCAAAUCCGUAUUUCAAUAAUGCAAGAAAGGAACCAUUUAACAGCCAUUAUGGACAAACAUUUUCAUUUUGUUCUUUGGACAAAUACGGGUGUCGUGUAACCAAACUCCCUUGCAUGUGCUGCAAGUGCGUGGCACCUAAGAUGGCUGGAACACUAAGCAGAUCGGGUGGGCAUGCUAAGGCUGGCAAGGGUGAGGUGGAAUUAUGCAUCAUAAGCACCUGAAUCAGAUGGUCGCGUAAUUAUAUUAUCAUUCAUUGUUUUCAGACAAAAUGUUUAUUCCAUGGCUGGUAAUGUUAAGGCUCCUCUGUUACUUCUCAAAGCAACCACACGUUUUGUAGCAAUGUUGAUGCUGCACGCUUGCUGCCAAUUUGAUUCUGCAUUUAGUACUAUGCGAGUGAACUAAGAAAGUGUUGUUUCAGGCUAGUAAAGCAUCAUUGUGCACUUCUGGAACAACUAUCAUGGAAGUAUGGAACUAAUGCUAGCAAAACUACUCUGUGUUGUCGCCUGAGGAAAAAGAUGGAACUUUAUUUUCCUGCCCAACAUUCUUUUGGAAUCUCCUUUUUUAUAUGCCAUGCUUUUUCAAGCUAGUACAGAUAAAGAUCUAGCCACAAAGAUAAGGUAAUUUGUUUCUAAUCUACUACACCUUAUAUAUUCAGAGGUACAAAGGGAGCUUCUAUAUAUGCAAUUAUUCUCAGUUGCAACAUAAUUGUUCAGUUGAGCUACUGAACUUGCUGACAGGAAAAUGCUCAGGGGUAACAACUUGAAAAUUUUCUAGGUAACUAAAUAAGAUAUUCUGACGGUUUAAAAUAGACCACAUCCUAUUUGUGUCAGCCUACUAUAUUCUACAGUUACACUAAGAAUGGAAGUACACCAAUACCAGUUUGUUUAGGUCACUACAACAUUGUGGCUAUAGUGGGUGGAUUAGGAUGCAACAUCUGUUUGUAUCUGCUGGUAUGGCAAUUUUGCUGCUUGCUAGGAGAUGUUCAUCUCCAGCGUUUAUUGCAGUUUAAAAAGCAGUUCAAUCACCUUGUAAUAGUUAUGGUGUAGUAAGAUUUGGGUUAAAUAUCGGUUUGAUACACGCUGAAUUUUGAGUUAGUCUCCAAAUAGAAGUUGUAGUGUACUUCUUAAGCUUUCUAGAGUGUAUUUAUUUGUGUAUUUUUACUGGGCAGUUUGAGAGCAGCGACCACCUCAAGCUUGCCGUCCAAAAAUUAGUAUCUCUAUUCGGACAUGAUACUACAAAAGAAACAAUGCAUUGAUACUUUCCCCGUUCCUUGUAUGUUUGCUUGCUAUUUACAUAUUUAACCUUCCAAAAUAGGGCCACCAGUCAUGUCAGGAAUGCCAUUGUAUUAUUACCAUACUUGAACUGCUGGCCGACGAUGGUAAUUCAGACAGCCGUAUUAUUUGCAUUGCUAAACUAUCCUGGUAUAUAUUUAGGAUCCUACGCUACUUAUUUAGAUUACAAAUAAAUUUGUCAUGUUAAUGUUUAUGUCGGUAUAUGUGCCAGCUUACACCCAGAUUUGUUUUGCCUUAUGCAGAAACUACUGGAUACUUUACAUCAAGCUUGACCAAGUAUGUCCCUUGUUGCUGUUGUUAUACCUGGCGAUAGAGCUCCAUUGGUUUCUUCAAAGGUGGCAUGCCCUGAUUGAUUUAUUACUCUGUAGAGUGUGUAAAGGUUUUUCUGUUUAUGACUAUUUGGUGCUUUUAUCCAGCAAGGCAGUAAGUUCUUUUGCAGGGACAAAUGGCAGAAAAUAGCAAGUCCACAAGUUGAUCUAAGAUGCUCCGUGGUCGCUUUUGUUGAUAACAUGGUUGACACCUUUUGUUCAUACAAAAGUUCAUGUUGGCUUGGUGAUUGAAGAAUUGGUCUCUGCCAUCAAAUUUUGUAGUAGUCAGUGAUCAAACAAUUGGUCUCUUCGGAUCUUAGCCAUCAAAUUUUGCAACAACUUGUCUUGUAUGUCAAACUUAUGUAUUUCCUUGAUGGUUGUAGCUAUCUUGAGCGAAGAAAACAAAUUAAUCUUUAUAUAUGUUGAAUGAAUGUAUGGAUGAAUGGCAGUUUGUGAUGAAUAUAAGAGUGCAAUUGUGUAUAUGCAUUGUGUACUAAACAUGAAUUAAAUAUUAUGAAUGUGAUUUAAUGUUAAAA
rnacentral:lncRNA from 1 species